GACGAACGCUGGCGGCGCGCCUAACACAUGCAAGUCGAACGGAGCUGCGAGAAGCUUGCUUUUCUUAGCUUAGUGGCGAACGGGUGAGUAACGCGUGAGUAACCUGCCCUGGAGUGGGGGACAACAGUUGGAAACGACUGCUAAUACCGCAUAAGCCCACGAUCCGGCAUCGGCUUGAGGGAAAAGGAUUUAUUCGCUUCAGGAUGGACUCGCGUCCAAUUAGCUAGUUGGUGAGGUAACGGCCCACCAAGGCGACGAUUGGUAGCCGGACUGAGAGGUUGAACGGCCACAUUGGGACUGAGACACGGCCCAGACGCCUACGGGAGGAAGCAGUGGGGGAUAUUGCACAAUGGGGGAAACCCUGAUGCAGCGACGCCGCGUGGAGGAAGAAGGUUUUCGGAUUGUAAACUCCUGUCGUUAGGGACGAUAAUGACGGUACCUAACAAGAAAGCACCGGCUAACUACGUG
rnacentral:rRNA from 1 species